ACAUACGACCAUAGGGUGUGGAAAACAGGGCUUCCCGUCCGCUCAGCCGUACUUAAGCCACACGCCGGUGAGUUAGUAGCUGGGUGGGUGACCACCAGCGAAUCCUCACUGUUGUAUGUU
rnacentral:rRNA from 1 species